ensembl:antisense Gm29083 predicted gene 29083
AAAAGGAAAGGCGGAGAGGCAGGGGAAGAGCUGGCUCCCCUCACUCCAGUGCCUGGUUGGAGGUAAACAGCCUCCCUGGGCCAGGAGGGAAGGGGCAACCUUCAAAGGCAGAAAAGAGAUAUAUAUAUAUCUUAGUGGACUACAUAUAUGCAUGGGGUCCUUGGAGUGCAGAAGAGGGCAUCGGACUUCCUGGAACUCUCCUGGAGUUACAGAUGGUCCUGAGUCACCAUGCAAGUGCUGGGAACUGAAACUGAGUCCUCUCUGAAAGAGCAGAAAGUCCCUUUAACCAUUGAGCCAUCUCUCCAGCCCCACCAUGGUGAGGACUUUUAAAUCAUCAGAAUUCUGCUUGUUUGCUUCAACAGCCAGAACCCUGUGACCACAGAUGAAAAGCAAACAGAUCCCAAGUUAACUGAAGGGAUAGAAAGCAUCAACAGGGACACUUGGUAGUUGGCUGACUCUGGAGUAGUGAGGUAACUGUCAAAGGUAUUAUGUGUGCAUACAUGUAUAGAUGUGUAUAUGGAGGAUAAAAAGGGGGAUAAACUUACUCCUUUCUUGAGUGGGGCCUUCCUACGUUUCACCUUUAUAUGUUUAGUUCGAUGUGUGGAUUGUAUUAGGUGUGUAGUUACACAUUUUUAUGUUUUAAGAGGUGAUACUCUUUCCCCUUGGAUGAAUACUCUACCCAGAAUUUCAAAGUACAAUAGAGGUAGAAGAGAAAUGUACCUUGGAUGCUCC